rnacentral:tRNA from 1 species
UCCGGAUUGGUCCAGUGGUUAGGAUUUCCCGCUUUCAACGGGACGGCCGGGUUUCGAAUCCCCGAUCCUAGGUA